rnacentral:rRNA from 1 species
AUGCAUGACCAUAUCCUAGCGUCGCGGCCCCGCUCCGCCAUCUCCGACAUCAUAAUGUACGGCUCUUCCUACAUCGCGUUCGCACCAUAUGGCGAGUACUGGCGGCAUGCGAGGAAGCUCGUCACCACCCACAUGCUGAGCGUUAAAAAGGUUCAAUCUUUCCGCAGCGACAGGAUGGAGGAGGUCAGCAUGGCGAUGGCAAAGAUCAACGAGGCAGCCACAACCAGUGGUACAGUCGACACGAGCGAGCUACUCAACUCAUUCUCAAAUGACAUGGCGUCCCGUAUCGUGUCGGGCAAGUUCUUCCUGAAAGAUGGACGGAGCAAGUUGUUUCGGGAACUCAUCAACGAUACCUCGCGGCUUUUGGGCGGGUUCAACUUGGAGGAGUACUUCCCAGCAUUGGGUAGGGCAGGAGUGCUUAAGAGGGCAGUUUGUGCCAAGGCCGAAAGAGUGAGGAACAGAUGGGCUGAUCUGUUGGACAAGGUGAUCGACGAUCGUGUGAGCAAGCGCAAGUCAGCGUUUGAUCACAAGGAUGGGGAUUUUGUGGAUAUUUUGCCAUCUAUUCAGCCGGAGUAUGAUCUCACAAGAGAGCACAUGAAAGCUCUUCUCACAGAUGUAUUUUUCGGUGCAACAGACACNNNNNNNNNNUCAGCUAACGUCCUCGAAUUCACUUUGGCUGAGCUCAUGAGGAAGCCACACUUCAUGGGGAAGCUACAAGACGAAGUGAGGAGUAUCAUACCCGGGGGACAAGAAAUUGUGAGCCAAUCUGACAUGAACAACAUGGUGUACCUAAGAGCAGUAAUAAAAAAGCCUCUCAGGUUGUAUCCUGUUGCGCCUCUCCUUGCUCCGCACCUUGCCAUGGCUGAUUGUACCAUCCAUGGAUACAUGGUUCCUGCUGGAACUCGUGUCGUCAUAAAUGCAUGGGCCGUUGGGAGGGAUUCGAGCUCUUGGGAGGGUGCGGAAGAGUUCAUACCUGAAAGAUUUACAGAUAAAGGCACCGCUACGAAUGUCAAUUUCAAGGGGAAUGAUUUCCAGUUCUUGCCGUUCGGGCCCGGACGAAGGAUAUGCCCUGGUAUAAACCUCGGAAUCGCAAAUGUCGAAUUUAUGUUAGCAAACCUCGUGAACCAUUUUGAUUGGGAACUUCCGGUUGGGGUUGAGAGAAAAAAUAUCUAUAUGACAGAGGUGUUUGGGCUAACCGUUCGCAGGAAGGAGAAACUAUUGUUGAUUCCAAAAUCACGCAUGUAA